CCUACGGGAGGCAGCAGUGGGGAAUAUUGCACAAUGGGCGCGAGCCUGAUGCAGCCAUGCCGCGUGUGUGAAGAAGGCCUUCGGGUUGUAAAGCACUUUCAGCGGGGAGGAAGGCGGUGAGGUUAAUAACCUCAUCGAUUGACGUUACCCGCAGAAGCAGCACCGGCUAACUCCGUGCCAGCAGCCGCGGUAAUACGGAGGGUGCAAGCGUUAAUCGGAAUUACUGGGCGUAAAGCGCACGCAGGCGGUCUGUCAAGUCGGAUGUGAAAUCCCCGGGCUCAACCUGGGAACUGCAUUCGAAACUGGCAGGCUAGAGUCUUGUAGAGGGGGGUAGAAUUCCAGGUGUAGCGGUGAAAUGCGUAGAGAUCUGGAGGAAUACCGGUGGCGAAGGCGGCCCCCUGGACAAAGACUGACGCUCAGGUGCGAAAGCGUGGGGAGCAAACAGGAUUAGAUACCCUAGUAGUC
rnacentral:rRNA from 1 species